CACAUUACUGUGGGUCUGAAGUUACAUGAAGACCAGACCAGGGUCUGAGGACAAAUAUCCAACUGUGAAUCUGGAAGAAAAGUAACAAAUUCAAUCACAAACUGGGGAACAAUUUGAAGUCCAAGCGAAAUUCAUUGUCACAAAGAAGAUACAAAAACUGUGUCCUUGUGUCACAAGGUGAUUAAGGAACAGGCUCAGGCUACACCACAGUUACUGCUCAGCGAACACCUCAAUUCCUAAACAAGUGUAUUCUUCACAUGGUGACAGCAGCAGAGCCAAGUGUGAGAUUUGCAUCCAGGGCAGAGGUGGUGAUGUUCUCAGGGUGCCUGCUGAUACCACCUUUCCAUUCAGUGAGCUCCAGAAAACUUCACUCCUCUGGGUGAAUAAUCAUUUUCUCAAAUCCCUUCUAAAUCUUCUGUCUCUUCUCUUGAAACUACAGUCCCUGAAUAUUGCCUCUUGUACUCAGCAGAAAAUAAAAGUGUCUCAGCCUUCUCAGCUCGAAGGAAAACAAACCAAGCUUACCUAGUCUCUCUUCAAAAUGGAACCGUUCUAGUCUGGGUGUCAUCCGAGAAGAUCUCCUUUGCAAUCUUGCUAGUGUAACUACAUCCUUCUGAUAGCGUGACAGCAAGAACUACUAUGGACAGUACUCUGUGCACUAAUGUUUUACACUGUUCCAUCACCACUUCCCUGCUCUUGCAUUCAAUACCUCAACUAAUGAAGUAAAGAACUGCACAUGCUUUUUUAAUCAGCUUAUCUAUCUGAAUUGCUCCUUUCAAGGAACUGAAAAUAUGCACACCAAGAUUCCCCUGAUCAUCUUAACUUUUUAGAGUCCACUUAAUCAUUGUACACUCCCUUGCCUGUUAAUCAUCCCAAAUUGUGUCACCUCACAUUUUUCUGGAUUAAAUUCCAUUUGCUAUUUAUCUACCCACUGACCAGCUCAUCUAAAUCAUCCUGUCGACUGAGGCUUUCCUCCUUGUU